rnacentral:tRNA from 1 species
CGUAGCUCAGCUGGAUAGAGCACACGCCUUCUAAGCGUGCGGUCGCGGGUUCGAAUCC